UUGAACGCUGGCGGCAGGCCUAACACAUGCAAGUCGAGCGGUUGAGAGUAGCUUGCUACUUGAUGCAGCGGCGGACGGGUGAGUAACGCGUGGGAAUCUGCCCAGUAGUGGGGGACAACAGCCGGAAACGGCUGCUAAUACCGCAUACGCCCUACGGGGGAAAGGGGGGGAUCUUCGGACCUCUCGCUAUUGGAUGAGCCCGCGUCGGAUUAGCUAGUUGGUAGGGUAAAGGCCUACCAAGGCUACGAUCCGUAACUGGUCUGAGAGGAUGAUCAGUCACACUGGAACUGAGACACGGGCCAGACUCCUACGGGAGGCAGCAGUGGGGAAUAUUGGACAAUGGGGGAAACCCUGAUCCAGCCAUGCCGCGUGUGUGAAGAAGGCCUUAAGGUUGUAAAGCACUUUCAGUGGGGAGAAAGGUUUGUCACCUAAUACGUGAUGAAAUUGAUGUUACCCACAGAAGAAGCACCGGCUAACUCCGUGCCAGCCGCCGCCGUAAUAC
rnacentral:rRNA from 1 species